GUUGGAGGACGCUCGUUCAAACAUAAAAACUAUGGAAAGCCGUUAGGAACAAAAUUAGCUCAGUAACACUCGAAUACAAGGGAUCGCUCAAUACAUACAUAUUAAACAUUCCGAAGACCAUACCUGACAAGUAAUUUAGGAAGUUUAAUACAAAUGUAGAGUUGCUACAUGAGUCACAUACUGUAUUUAAGUGUUAUUAAAGUAAACUACCGAGUAUAGGACAGGAUGCUCUCGGGUGGCUUACAAUACUUAAU
rnacentral:lncRNA from 1 species